GUUUAAUUCCCACUACCAUUACCAAAAAUGAAAAAAUUUCAUUGGGCAAUUCUAAGACUGAAGAUUGAGAAUCACUGUUAAAUCAGGAAUCUUCACCAACAUAUCUCUGUACUUAGCAUAGAUGAUGGGUACAGAGUAAAGCAGUCAAUAUAUAUAUUUGCCUAUUAAUGAGUUAAGAAUAUAUUAUGGUUAUUUUUAGGAGUCAAGAAGACAGGAUAAGAAAUUAAGUUACCUAGACCAGUACAACCAUUCACUAAGCCAGGCAGCAAAGCUAGAACUCAAAUGAAGAUCUUCUAAGGUAACUCAUCCCAUCAAAUGCUGGUAGCUAACAGGAAAGAGAUCCUGGGUAAUAUAAGGGAAAAGUCUGGGACAGUGUGUAUCACAGAGGCUUGGAAUCCUAGAAAGCACGGGUGAUAGUCUGAAGAGAAAAUCCAAAAUAGCUGACUCCCAUUCAUUAUCUUCACAUCCCUUAUUUCUUAGUUGUUGUUUUGUUUUCAUCUAUUUCUACAUUUUGGGUGUGAUCUUCUUCAACAUUCAGAAAUUAUAUUUAGAACUGUACAUAUUAUAGAGAAUAAUAAAAUAUCAACAGUAUGAAUCUACCAACAAGAUUUAUUAUGGCCUUAUUUUGGUGUGUGUGUGCCAGAGAUUGAACACAGGGCCUUGUAUAUGCCAAGGCAGCCCCUUCAAAACUUUUUUUUAAUUGCCAAAUGUGCUGCCGUGUACAUUGUCUGUGCUUCCUAGAUUUCUACUUAUUUUUUUUGAGUUCUACUUUUCUGACAUGUAUCAUUAGUAAAGAAAUUGGUGGGAUGGAGAUUAUGCCUAUCUUCAGUCUCACUAUUCCAAGGGUACAAACAACUUACACACUCCUAAAGCAUGCCACUAGAAUUCAUGCAGUUCCAGUUCUGCAUUAAUAUCUUUCAUUUCCUGCCAUGUGGAAGGAUACGGAGUAUGUGGGUAUCUCAUUAAGUUUUGCUUUGUUUUGAGAUGGGGUCUCAUUAUGUUGUCCAGUCUAGCCUUGAGCUCCAGCAACCCUCUUGCUUCCGUCUUCCAAACAGCUAGAACUACAGUUCUGCGGAUUGAACCAAGGACCCUGUGCCUGGUAGACAAGCAUUCCACCAAUGAGUUACACUCCCAGCUGUGAUUUUUUUUAAUAUUCUUAUUAAAUAAAAUCUGAAAAACAGUUUUGGAUAAAAGAAAGUAGACGAAGACUGGGCAAAAUGGAAUGGCAAGGCCCAAGAUACGCAUUCUUUUCAGAGACG